rnacentral:rRNA from 1 species
UGGCUCAGGAUGAACGCUAGCGGCAGGCUUAACACAUGCAAGUCGAGGGGUAUAGGAAGCUUGCUUCCUAGAGACCGGCGCACGGGUGCGUAACGCGUAUGCAAUCUACCUUUUGCAGAGGGAUAGCCCAGAGAAAUUUGGAUUAAUACCUCAUAGUAUGUGAGAAUGGCAUCAUUUUCACAUUAAAGUUCCAACGGUAAAAGAUGAGCAUGCGUCCCAUUAGUUAGUUGGUAAGGUAACGGCUUACCAAGACGAUGAUGGGUAGGGGUCCUGAGAGGGAGAUCCCCCACACUGGUACUGAGACACGGACCAGACUCCUACGGGAGGCAGCAGUGAGGAAUAUUGGACAAUGGGCGCAAGCCUGAUCCAGCCAUGCCGCGUGCAGGAAGAAGCAUCUAUGGUGUGUAAACUGCUUUUGUACGGGAAGAAACACUCCUACGUGUAGGAGCUUGACGGUACCGUAAGAAUAAGGAUCGGCUAACUCCGUG